GGCUGAAUCACACCGGUUCUCAAACGAUCACCGAAGUUAAGUAACGUCGAGCCUGGUCAGUUCCGAGAUGGGUGACCGCUUGGAAUAACAGCUGCUGUAAG